rnacentral:lncRNA from 1 species
AGGCAGGCUUGCGAUUCAGAAAAUGGAGUUCAGUCAAUGGAAUGUUCUCUCAUUUCUGAAUAGCCAUAUUGAGUUGUUUUUGAGCAUCUGCUCAACAUUCUUAGAUAGUGACCACAACCUCACCAUCGUGUCGGGUGUGGUUGUGGUUGCUUCUUCUGUUCCUGUGCUUCCUGGUGGGGAUUCCAUCUUCACCAACCUUCUGGAAAACCAAAAUCUACCAAAAGCGUCAGGGCAGAGCCAAGAGGAGAAGAAAAGGUGGAACAUCAAGUGGUUGGAGAAACUACCAGAGGGAAACAGAGGAGAAAAGGAGGCUAAUUUCUAUUCUGAAAAGGCUCAGGGAAGAAUAGAAGCAGAGGCUGGAGAAAAGGCUGUGGAUGCUGGACAAUCCUGAUGAGAGGGAAAAGCAGGCAGACACCGUGGGCUGAGAGCCUGCUGCCUCACCGCUUCAAAGAUCACAAGCCACCAAGGGCACUCUUCUAGGAGAAAAAACUAACGCUCAAGUUAUGUCGUCUUACCAAGCAGGACACUCUGUAUUUGCUGUCCCAUCUGUGAGGGGAUUUGCAUGGAAACCUCCCCCAGUGCUAAUGGGAGUCGUUCUCCAACGCAGUCCUCUCUGCAUAGAGGACGGGACGGCUGCCACGGGGAUAUGAAGCUCGGGUCAUUUAAUAAAAAAAGCUCUUGGAAUUAGCACUCCCCAGGUUUCAGAGAUCCAUGUAGUGUAAUUUACUUCCACAUUUUCCUCUCAAUCUGAAGUCUGAAUGUGUUAUCUAAGCUUAGAUACAAGGUUAUCCAAGCAGUGACCUUGGUGGGAAUCUGGCUUCCCUGGGUCUUCUGGAAAAAUGGUCAUCCAAUCUUUUCUUCCUGUCCCCCCUUUAUAAGAAUACAGAAAAGCAACUACUUACAGAAAUAAAGCAAUUAUUAUAAAAAAGAAGAAUUUAUUAACAAUAUGGCUUGAAAAUGAACUGAACUAAAUUUUUCCCUCUUCGUAUGAAUUGGAUUUUUUCCUGUAAACAUGUUUAAUUAGAAACACGCAGUGAGAGCAAG